rnacentral:rRNA from 1 species
AGUUUGAUCCUGGCUCAGAGUGAACGCUGGCGGCGUGCCUAAUACAUGCAAGUCGAACGGACAAGUAAGAGCUUGCUCUUAUGAGUUAGUGGCGCACGGGUGAGUAAUGUAUAGUUAAUCUGCCCUAUGCUGGAGGACAACAGUUAGAAAUGACUGCUAAUACUCCAUACUCCUUCUUAACACAAGUUAAGUCGGGAAAGUAGCUCUUAAUAAUGCAUAUAAAAUGGAUUUUAAAACAAAAAGCUAAAAAGAUAACAAUGAGCUUUUUUGAAGCUUUACAUAAGUAAGGCAAGAAAAAGUGAAGCAGUUAGCUUUUAAAGAUUUUUGUAAAAAUUCUAAAUUAUAAAAUAGUUUUUAAAUUAAAAAUAUUUUCUUUAAAAGAGAUUAAUAAAAGUAAUUUUAAAACUUUUUUAUAUGUAUUAUUAAGAGCUCUCGGCAUAGGAUGAGACUAUAUUGUAUCAGCUAGUUGGUGAGGUAAUGGCUCACCAAGGCUAUGACGCAUAACUGGUCUGAGAGGAUGAUCAGUCACACUGGAACUGAGACACGGUCCAGACUCCUACGGGAGGCAGCAGUAGGGAAUAUUGCUCAAUGGGGGAAACCCUGAAGCAGCA